GCCACACCGGCAGCCGGAGGAGGAGGAGCCAGGAAAUCCGGGCAGGGCGGCGCCCACCCCCAGCCCUGGGCCAGGCGCCGGAGGGGACGCCGGCUGCCCCCAGAAACACGCUGCAGCUUCACGAGGCGGCGCUGCCAGCAUUCCUGGAAGGGAACGCCAGGCCAGGCGGGGGGCGGGGGUACAGCCCCAGCCCGCUGCCAGAUGUGCACCGCGAACAGCUGCCCCCGGCCAAUAAGGUCCCGCCUGAAGGCCAAGGGCAGACAGAGUAAGAUCACCGCCUUUGGGAUCAAGCCCUCCUGGGCCCAGCCGCCUUAGGGGGCGAGCCAAUCAGAAUCUUCCCUGGGACACUUGCUAGGAACUGCUCUCCCCAUCCCUCUUUGGAGUCACUAUAUACCAGCCUAGAACUGUUCUUAGCUGUCUCUGCCAUGUGAGGAGAAGCUGCUCAAGAAUGAAUUCCACACAGGAGAAGGCGGAGCUGAGGAUGGAGACAGGUGGAUAAGCCUGGGUCCAACAGUGCCUGGGGCCAGCUUCACCCUCAUCACUUACGUGGGGCAACAAACGCCCUUUGGGAAUUGGGUUUGCGGCAUUUGCAAACAGAAAGGGACGUGGGUAACACAAGCCCUUCCAAUAGAGUACAAGGUGAUUUAGAACCUUCUAGAUGCUCAUUCCUGAGUCAGACGAGGACGCCCAAAAGACAAAUAAGCCCUGUUCCGGCCUGCCAGAGGCUGACCCCCAGUUGGAGCUGCAGCUCUAAAACCCGAACAAGGAGGAAAGCCACCCAGCCCAGCUGCUCAAGGCCAGCAUGGGUCAAAGGCCAGACAAGGUCGCUAUCACUAAGCCUCAGUUUUCUUAUCUGUAAAAUGGAGACAGCAUCCCCUACGGAGCAGGGCUGCUCCUCCACCAGCCAAUCCUACCCCCUUCUUUUUUUUUUUUUUUUUUUUUUGCGGUACGCGGGCCUCUCACCGUUGUGGCCUCUCCCGUCGCGGAGCGCAGGCUCCGGACGCGCAGGCUCAGCGGCCAUGGCUCACGGGCCCAGCCGCUCCGCGGCACGUGGGAUCUUCCCGGACCGGGGCAGGAACCCGCGUCCCCUGCAUCGGCAGGCGGACUCGCAACCGCUGCGCCACCAGGGAAGCCCCCCCCCCUUCUUUUUUUGAUGGCACAGCCUGCUCCGCGUAAAGUCUGAGACGGUCAGACACUCAUGUUCCCAGUACCCCUGCAAUUACAGACGGGCAUGUGGCCAAGCCUGGAAAAGUGGACCUAAGUUUGCUAAAAUCUUCUGGGAAACACCCGUGCCCCAAAGAGAAAAGGACAAGGGAGCCCCCUACCCUUUCCCAUCCUGCUUCUGGAUGCUAUCCUGGGGGAACGUAGUGCUUGGAGCUGUGGCAGCCAGCAUGUAACCACAAGGAAAGGGCCAAAAGAAUUAUACUCAGAUUUACUUUGAUUUAAGGAAAAGGUCAUCUCUUGUACACCUGGGGCUGUGGGCUGAGGUCUGCACUCUCACUAUUGGUUGUAGGAGGUGGUCUCGUAAAGAAGUUAAAAGCAUGGAUUCUGGAGCCAACUCUAUCUACUACCUGCUGGCUGUGUGAUCUUCGGCAAGUUACUUAACCUCUCUGUGCCUCCGUCUCCUCCAUAAAACACGAAUGAUAUUUGUAAGUGUUAGGUGACUUAGGAUACAUGAAAACAUUUUGCACAGUGCUUGGCAUGUAGAAAGUGCCCCCGAUAAACAUUAGCUCUAAUUAGCCAUCGCUGUCAGAGAAUGUGGGGAUGCGGGGGGGCUGGGCCGGUGGGGAAGCCAGGCGGGCACCGAGGCCCAGGCCCGCAGGAGCUGAACAGGAGCCACGAGCCCGCUGCCAGCCUUGGCACCACGGAGGCCGCGCUGACUCGCUCUGUGCUCACCCUGCCAAGGCCAGAGCGGCGGGCUCCAGCCUGCCGAUGCCUGCAGGGAGAGACGCCCCGCGACGCAGCCGCCCGCCUCCCUCCACUCCUGCCCACCUGGAGCCAGCCUGGCAGCCCGCGAGGUGGGCGCCCUGCCGGCCUGGGGGGACGUCAGCCCAGGCCCGGAGAUGCCCCCCCACCCCCACUCUGCAGGCUGCACUCCUGACUCCCAGCCGUGUGACCUCCCUUCGUGGAGAAGGUGGUGUCCCCUCCGCCCCUCCCGCCGGAGCUGACCGUGGAAGCGAUUCCACCUGGCGGCCAUGCUGCAGGGAGUCGAAAACAGUUGUCUGGCUUGUCGGAUACCCAGGCCCUGCACAGCUCGACACAGGCUGCCGGGCUGGGGGCCGCGUAACUCUUUCGGGCGUGUUCUCUCUCUGGGGAGGGCGGGAGACCCCAGGCCCCUCUGCAACGGGGUAAACUGAGACAUCUCUCUGCACACCUCCCCGCCGGACACAGUGGAGCCGCCCUCCUGCCUUCUGCGUCUACCCACGACUCAUACACAGUUCUCGCGGGGCCUGGGGAGCUGACGGGAUCGAUGCGAGGCUCCUACACACGCAGGGACCAGGCUGCUUACACACGACACCUCCUGGCAUCUCCAUGACGGCCCCAGAGACAGGCACAAUCUUCAUGCACCUUCUGUAGGUGAGGACCCGAGGCUGUCAGGGAGCGAGUACCUUGCCUGGGCCACACCGCUAGCCCACCGCAGGGGAGGGAUUCAGCGCCGGGCUUGGCUGACCUUAAAGCCUGGGCAUUGACUGCACUGACUCAGCAUUCCCAGAAGCUUCCGGCCCCACAGCCUUGGCCUCCCCCGGCCAUCCUGCACGUUGCUGCCCAAGAACAAUGCUUACAAGCCUCCCCCGCUCAACAGCCUUCAGUGGCUCCCCAGCACCCCCAGGAGAAACCCCCAAAUCCUGGUAAAGCCCUCUCCAUCUCUGACUUCUUGACGUCACCCCUGUAAUCUACUCACUCCUCACCACAAGCCAAGUGACAGGGGUGCUUGAGAGCCUGGACUAGGCACCACCUCCUGCAGCAGGCCAGGCCUGCACCCACCACAGGGCCUUUGUGCGUGCUGUUCCCUCUGCCUGGAAGCUACUCUCUCCCCACUGCCCCUCUCUUUAGGUGCCCCCUCCUGGGAGAGGCCAUCCCCCGCAAGCCCCUCUCCUGCAGUAUUUUCUCCACUACACACUUCUCACUAUCCAGCAGGGAAUUCUCGUGGCACGGAUUUAGGUUUAACGUCUGAGGCCUCCGAUGAGACUGUGAGCCUGUGAGGGCAGGACCUUGCCUGUCUUGUUUCCUGCUGUAUCCCCUGCGCCAGGACACGGCCAGUGUGCAGGAGAUGCUGGGUGAAUGAGUGAGUGGGUGAGUGAAUGAAUGAGUCCCCUUCUCCUGGGGCUCAUCGCAGAGCCAGCAUACAUCUGGAGCCCCAGCUGGCCUGAAGUGACCCCCCUUCCCAUGUUCUCUGCCUACGCUUAUCCUCCCCAACUCCCAAGGUUUCUCUCAAGGGGCCCAACCACCCCUCACUCUGGCCCCAACCUCCAAGUCCUCCUCCAUGACUCCCAGGCGCGCCUCAAUGGUGGAGACGUCCCCAAACUUGCCUGUGCGGCUCCCGCCACCUGAAUCACCCUUUCUCCCUCCCCUACCCGGCCAACUCCUGCACAGCCCUCAAGAGCUCUUCAGGGAUUCCCUCCCUUGCAAGGCAGAACUGAUCACGCCCCCUUCUGACACCCUCUGUCCAACAGACACACCCACUGUGAGCUGCUCGUGUCUUUGCCUUCACUGAUCACAAUGCUGCAUACAGCAGGUGCUCACUCCACCGUUACAGGAUAACCCACUACCUCCUCGCAGGUCCUUCACAACGUACAGGCCUCCUGACUCGACAGGAACUCUCUGAUGGCAGGGGCUGUUUUGUUCAUUGCUACAUCCUCAGCGCAAAAUCCAAUGCCUGGACUUCCCUGGUGGCGCAGUGGUUAAGAACCCGCCUGCCCAUGCAGGGGACACGGGUUCGAUCCCUGGUCCGGGAAGAGCCCACACGCCGCGGAGCAACUAAGCCCGUGCGCCACAACUACUGAGCCUGCGCUCUAGAGCCUGCAAGCCACAAUGACGGAGCCCACGUGCCACAACUACUGAAGCCCGUGCGCCUAGAGCCCGUGCUCCCCAACAAGAGAAGCCACCGCGAUGAGAAGCCCGUGCACCGCAACGAAGAGCAGCCCCCGCUCGCCGCAACUAGAGAAAGCCCGCGUGCAGCAACUAAGACCCAAUGCAGCCAAAAAUAAAUAAAUAAGUUUACUUGAAAAAAAAAAAUCCAGUGCCUGUGGGAUGAAUGGACAGACUGAUGGACAGAUGAAUUGGGCAGAUGGCUGGAUGAAAGGAAGGAAAAAUGGAUGGAUGGAUGGAUGGAUGGAUGGAUGGAAGAAAGGAUGGACGGAUAGAUGGAUGGACAGGUGGAUGGAUGCCCAGAAGGAAAAAAAGAUGAAAGGAUAGAUGGACGAAGAGAAUGAAGGAAUCAAGUAAAACAGAGAGAUGAAUGGACGGAAGAAGGAAGGAAAGGCAGAUGGGUGGAUGGAAGGAUGGGUGAUGGAUGCAUGUGUUGAUAACGGAAAGAAAAAUGGAUGGAUGGGUGCGUGAAUGGCUGGCUGGAUGGAUG